rnacentral:rRNA from 1 species
CCUACGGGAGGCAACAGUGAGGAAUAUUGGUCAAUGGACGAGAGUCUGAACCAGCCAUGUAGCGUGAAGGAUGACUGCCCUAUGGGUUGUAAACUUCUUUUAUAAAGGAAUAAAACGAGGCACGUGUGCCUUUUUGCAUGUACUUUAUGAAUAAGGAUCGGCUAACUCCGUGCCAGCAGCCGCGGUAAUACGGAGGAUCCGAGCGUUAUCCGGAUUUAUUGGGUUUAAAGGGAGCGUAGAUGGGUUGUUAAGUCAGUUGUGAAAGUUUGCGGCUCAACCGUAAAAUUGCAAUUGAUACUGGCAGUCUUGAGUACAGUUGAGGUAGGCGGAAUGCGUGGUGUAGCGGUGAAAUGCUUAGAUAUCACGAAGAACCCCGAUUGCGAAGGCAGCUUACUAAACUGUGACUGACAUUGAUGCACGAAAGUGUGGGUAGCAAACAGGAUUAGAUACCCCAGUAGUC